GUGAACGCUGGCGGUAGGCCUAACACCUGCAAGUCGAACGGCAGCACAGUAAGAGCUUGCUCUUACGGGUGGCGAGUGGCGGACGGGUGAGGAAUACAUCGGAAUCUACUUUUUCGUGGGGGAUAACGUAGGGAAACUUACGCUAAUACCGCAUACGACCUACGGGUGAAAGCAGGGGAUCUUCGGACCUUGCGCGAUUGAAUGAGCCGAUGUCGGAUUAGCUAGUUGGCGGGGUAAAGGCCCACCAAGGCGACGAUCCGUAGCUGGUCUGAGAGGAUGAUCAGCCACACUGGAACUGAGACACGGUCCAGACUCCUACGGGAGGCAGCAGUGGGGAAUAUUGGACAAUGGGCGCAAGCCUGAUCCAGCCAUACCGCGUGGGUGAAGAAGGCCUUCGGGUUGUAAAGCCCUUUUGUUGGGAAAGAAAAGAAGCAGGUUAAUACCCCGCUGUUCUGACGGUACCCAAAGAAUAAGCACCGGCUAACUUCGUG
rnacentral:rRNA from 1 species